rfam:Strongyloides papillosus strain LIN genome assembly, scaffold: SPAL_contig0002155
UCCCAUGUAGUCUAGUGGUUAUGAUUUGCGGCUCUCACCCGCAAGGCCCGGGUUCGAUUCCCGGCAUGGGAA